rnacentral:rRNA from 1 species
UACGUAGGGUGCAAGCGUUAAUCGGAAUUACUGGGCGUAAAGCGUGCGCAGGCGGUUUUGUAAGUUUGUCGUGAAAGCCCCGGGCUCAACCUGGGAAUUGCGAUGAAGACUGCAAGGCUUGAAUCUGGCAGAGGGGGGUAGAAUUCCACGUGUAGCAGUGAAAUGCGUAGAGAUGUGGAGGAACACCGGAUGGCGAAGGCAGCCCCCUGGGUCAAGAUUGACGCUCAUGCACGAAAGCGUGGGGAGCAAACAGG